UAAUACGUAGGGGGCGAGCGUUAUCCGGAUUUAUUGGGCGUAAAGCGUUCGUAGGCGGUUUGUUAAGUCUAAAAUCAAAUCUUGGGGCUUAACUCCAUUCAGUUUUAGAAACUGGCAGACUUGAGUGUGGUAGAGGCAAGUGGAAUUUCUAGUGUAGCGGUUAAAUGCGUAGAUAUUAGAAGGAACACCAGUGGCGAAGGCGGCUUGCUGGGCCAUUACUGACGCUGAGGAACGAGAGCGUGGGGAGCAAAUAGGAUUAGAUACCCUAGUAGUCCACGCCGUAAACGAUGAGUACUAAGUGUCGGGUUACCGGUGCUGAAGUUAACACAUUAAGUACUCCGCCUGAGUAGUACGGUCGCAAGGCUGAAACUUAAAGGAAUUGACGGGCACCCGCACAAGCGGUGGAGCAUGCUGUUUAAUUCGAUGCUACGCGAAGAACCUUACCUAGGCUUGACAUCCCCGGCAAAGCUAUAGAAAUAUAGUGGAGGUUAUCCGGGUGACAGGUGGUGCAUGGUUGUCGUCAGCUCGUGUCGUGAGAUGUUCGGUUAAGUCCGAUAACGAGCGCAACCCCUAUUGCUAGUUGCUAACAUUCAGUUGAGUUCUCUAGUGAUACUGCCGGUGACAAACCGGAGGAAGAUGGGGAUGAUGUCAAAUCAUCAUGCCCCUUACGUCUAGGGCCACAGGCGUGCUACAAUGGCCGGCACAAAAAGUUGCAAUACCGUGAGGUGGAGCUAAUCUCAAAAACCGGUCUCAGUUCGGAUUGGAGUCUGCAACUCGACUCCAUGAAGUUGGAAUCGCUAGUAAUCCUGGAUCAGAAUGCCAGGGUGAAUACGUUCCCGGGUGUUGUACACACCGCCCGUC
rnacentral:rRNA from 1 species